GCCGAGGUGGUGGAACUGGUAGACACGCUAUCUUGAGGGGGUAGUGGAUUACGUCCGUGCGGGUUCGAGUCCCGCCCUCGGCA
rfam:Desulfovibrio alaskensis G20, complete genome.